rnacentral:lncRNA from 1 species
CCCCGGACUCCUCCCUGCCCUCUCCGGCUUCCCUGCCUCACAGGCUCCUCGCGUUCCCAGAGGGCUCCUUCCUGGGCCUGCCUGUGCCCCCCUUCUCCCGGCUCUCCUGUCCCCGGCCAGCUGCCGCAGAAAAUUUUCUGGAACUUGAGAAUCAUGGUAACACAGAAGUGGAGUGGCAUCCGUCAGUCAUCUCUAGCUCCACCUUAUGUCAAGGGUCUUUGAGGAGAAGGCAGUCCUUCCGCAUCAUGAGCUCCAUCCUAAAGAUGACUGUAGCCAGAGAGGAGAGGCUGCCGAUGGAGAGAGGAAUCAGUGGGAGGUCUUGUUUUUUGGUGUUGGAAGGCAACGUUAGGUGGAAUUUGCAGAGUCCAUGGUAUUACAGUGCCCAGUGGUUCCAGGUCUCCAUCACAUUUUUGCCCAGAGAUAGAGGAGAUUGUGCUCAGUUUUGGGGUAUUGAGUGUCACCCCCUUAAGGAGCCUCACAGGAAACAUAUCUCUGAGAUUUCAACUGUCUGGGCAAUGUCAAAGCAGAAAAUGAGCCUGAAAGUUCAAAAAUUUCCACAAACCUCCUCAUUAAACUGGACAAUUUAGUUAAGCCCCGAAGACAAGGUGUAUCAGACACUGCUCUCAUACCCAGGUCAUCCAUGUGCAUGGUAUAGAAUAGAAAAGGGUUAGAGGAAAUACAUCUGCUCACCUCUCUCCACCAACCAGGGGAUGCCUCUCAGAAGCAAAUGAGUG